CGCCCGGGGACCAAGCGGCAGCACGCCAUCCACAUCAUCGACUUCGGGCUGGCCAAGGAGUACAUCGACCCCGAGACCAAGAAGCACAUCCCGUACCGCGAGCACAAGAGCCUGACGGGCACGGCGCGCUACAUGAGCAUCAACACGCACCUGGGCAAGGGUGAGCUGCGCGCGCGCGGCGGGGGGCGGGCGCCCGGACCCCGCUGAGGCUGCGCCCCUGUCCCCGCAGAGCAGAGCCGCCGCGACGACCUGGAGGCGCUGGGCCACAUGUUCAUGUACUUCCUGCGCGGCAGCCUCCCCUGGCAGGGGCUCAAGGUGGGCGAGGGGGCCGGGCAGGCGGGCAGGGGCGCAGGGCGGGAGCAAGGCUGACCACGGACCCCCGCAGGCCGACACGCUCAAGGAGCGGUACCAGAAGAUCGGGGACACCAAGCGCGCCACGCCCAUCGAGGUGCUCUGUGAGAACUUCCCAGAGGAGAUGGCCACGUACCUCCGCUACGUGCGGCGCCUGGACUUCUUCGAGAAGCCCGACUAUGACUACCUGCGGAAGCUCUUCACCGAUCUCUUCGACCGCAGCGGCUUCGUGUUCGACUAUGAGUACGACUGGGCCGGGAAGCCCCUGCCGACCCCCAUCGGCACCGUCCACACCGACCUGCCCUCCCAGCCUCAGCUCCGGGACAAAGCCCAGCCGCACAGCAAAAACCAGGUGAGGCCCGGGCGGGACCGACGCCCCAGGGAGGGGCAUGGGCGGCCAGCGUGACCCCCUACUGCCCCCGCCAGGCGCUGAACUCCACCAACGGGGAGCUGAAUGCGGACGACCCCACUGCCGGCCACUCCAACGCCCCCAUCACGGCGCCUGCAGAGGUGGAGGUGGCCGAUGAAACCAACCGGCCCCAUUAGCGU
rnacentral:sRNA from 1 species